rnacentral:rRNA from 1 species
UACGUAGGCAGCGAGCGUUGCUCGGAAUUACUGGGCGUAAAAAGUGUGUAGGCGGUGCUCCCAGUCUGUUGUGAAAUCUCCCGGCUUAACUGGGAGGGUGCAGCGGAAACUAGAGUGCUAGAGGGUGGGAGAGGUAAGCGGAAUUCCUGGUGUAGCGGUGAAAUGCGUAGAUAUCAGGAGGAACACCUGUGGUGUAGACAGCUUACUGGACCACUUCUGACGCUGAGACACGAAAGCGUGGGUAGCAAACAGG